UGUGUUUUUAUAUUUUUUAAUAUAAUUAGUAAAUAUAUUAUUUGUUAUAGAUGUGUAAUCCUUAGAAGUUGGUGUAUUUUUUAAAUCUAAUUUGUUGUAUUUUUUUUUUUUAAAUUUGAUGUAUUUUUAUAAUCUAAGUUGCUAUAUUUUUUAAAAUAUGAAAAGCAUAUUAGGUAAAUAAAUAUAGUAGGCACUUUAAUUAUGUAAAUUUAAUUAAUAUUAAUGUAUAAAAUGAAUUUUAUUUGAUAAAUCUAAUCUCUGUUAAAAUAUUUGGCCUCGGGUAAAAAUAUGUAGUUUGGUGGCCCGAGUCAAUUUGUAUAUUAGAAAUUUGUUUUCUGCAGAAAUAUGGAACCAUUUUUAUAUGGAGUUUAAGUCAAUUAUUAGGAGAAAUAAAUUUCAGUGAAAAUUACUAUAGCAUUUUAUCGCUUCAAUUUCAAAAAAAGUAUAUAUAGAUUAACUUAGCACUAUGUGGUUUCAUAAUUUUAAUAAAGAUUACGUUAGCAUUCCAUGUGAAAAUAAAUAUUUAAAAUCUUAACGUAAUUUUAUAGAUGGCUAGAGGUUCUACCGGUGAUAAUGAGAUUGAGCGAUCCGAAGGCAGACCACCGGUAGUCCAGCCUGUGUUAGAUAUAGGUGACGACAGCCACCAUUGCUACCUGGUAUGGUGACAUCAACUUUAGCAUCUACUUUAUCACUACCAACGCCUUGAGCGACAGCUCUGGCUGCUACUCUACCACCAUCAUUUAUUAUAUCCCCAUCAGCUCCUCUGUUGAUAGCUCUAGUUGAUACUCCACCACCCCCACAGCUUCUGGAGACAUUUGUAGCUGCUACUCAACCACCCCCACAGCUUCUAGAGACAUUUGUAACUGCUACUCAACCACCCCCACGCCUAUAGCUUCUAGAGACAUCAUCGCGUGGUACAGGUGACUGGACAUGGGCCAUUGCUCCUCAAGAUUGAUCUAGCAAGAAGGUCUGUAUUGGGAUCCUCCACUCAAUAUCACGGUGUAUUAGAGGUGGUACGCAUAGACUGGCACCCGAUGACAGACUUUACAAGCGGAGGACCAAGGGUAAAAAUUGGAUAAGGUCUAAGAGAAGGUGUGGAGUAGCUGGAUGGCUUAGUAGUCCUCUGAGCAAUUUUAGAAGAAGCAUGUUGCUGCCUCUAGGGAUUGGUGCAUCAAGACUAAAGGUGAGGGAUAAGGAUCAUUAUUCUAUAGGCGGGUUCAAUCUCUAUAGUUGAGCAAGCUAGGAGGAUGGUACAUUAUCAACUUAAAUUGAAUUAAAUAGACUUAUUAGCAUUUUAAGUGUUAUAUUACUACUUUUUAAAUGUAUCAUCAGGCACAUAAGAUAGGUCAGAAGCCAACCCUGUUGAGCUGUUUGAGGCCUUGCGCAUAUGGCAGACACUAGAUGAUGGUUGUCAAUACGUCGAUUGGUGCUCUCAAGAUGUCGCUGAUCAGUAUCAUCAACUAGUAGAGGUCGCUUUUCCUACUUCUGAGGGAUCUACAGAGCCACUAAAGGUGGACACUACGGGGUUAUUCCUUCAGGUGGCAGGCGGUGAUAAAAAGCAUGGCGUCUAUAGCAAGGGUGCUAAGGCAUCAUUUUUCUUCAACCAUGGAUCAUCCUGCAGUUCUACUACAAAGUCAUAUACAAUAAAUGUCCCAAAUCAUUUGGAGACACGAGACAUGGAGACUGUGCAGUAGCAGGUGCAGUCUACAAUAGAUAAGGAUAGACUCGUCUGCCACCAGGAGUAGGAGGAGGUGACUUCUGGUAUCCGUAUAGAGGUUCGACAGCUCAUCCAAGAGCUCCUCAUGAAGUUCUUGACGCCCGAUACAUCUUUCUCUGCCCCAACUUAGCAGCAACAAGAUGACUAGGAUCAGUUGAUUGCCGACCCGUAUAUUAGAUUUCUUUUAAUUCUUUGACUAUAAUAAAUAAUUUCUAAUUUAUAAUAUAAUUUUUUUAUA